rnacentral:rRNA from 1 species
UGGUACUCGAGCGGCGAACGGGUGAGUAACACGUGAGUAAUCUGCCCUUGGCUUUGGGAUAGCCACCGGAAACGGUGAUUAAUACCGGAUAUGACCACUUCUCGCAUGGGUUGUGGUGGAAAGUUUUUCGGCCAGGGAUGUGCUCGCGGCCUAUCAGCUUGAUGGUGAGGUAAUGGCUCACCAUGGCUUCGACGGGUAGCCGGCCUGAGAGGGUGACCGGUCACACUGGGACUGAGACACGGCCCAG